AAGAAGAAGAAGAAGAAGAAACAAGAAAACAACAUCAAGCAAAUAUACCAAUAAACAAACAAAAAGAAAGAAAUACAGCAAGACGUGGCUGGCCCGCCGCCUAUAUUACGUACAACGCGUGUCUCAUCCUCCUUCCUGGUCCCUGGCUGGUGUUAGGUGUCGCGCUGCAUCAAGAAGAGGUGGUCUGCUAGUGCUGGUCGCCUUUGUUGACUCGCGAGGGGAGGCUCAGCGGCCUUGCUGUGCGCACACUCAACUACAAAAGAGCUCAUGCUUUUUGUAUGUAUUCUUUUAUGCUACGAUUUAUAUUUUCCUUGUGUGUGUGUGUGUGUGUGUGUGUGUGUGUGUGUGUGUGUGUGUGUGUGUGUGUGUGUACCGGAAGUUGCCAAUCACACGACUCCGUUCAACAGUCAAACAACACGAGUAAUUCACCAUGUGGUUACCGAGGCAGAUAAGCACACCAUAAAAUACCAAAAGCUGUGUGCUCUCGACAGCCUAACCCAAUCACCAUGGAGAAUUACGACAGCUACUCACAAUGAUAGUCACACAUAACAAUUCUACAUGGCCAGGCAAACCUCAGCUACGCCACAGCCUCCCAUCCGUUAGUCUUCCGCCAUCCCAUCCAUGUCACUAGUCUAGACGCGCCCCAAGGCCAAUCUUCUAUGGUACUAUACAUAAUUCUACACCAGGAACUCGUCACUUGCAACCCACGAACGCGGCAGUGAAAGGUCGGAAGGGAAGCGAUAAAUGGCAACAGCGCCCCGUCGGCCUUGAGGCGUAGCAGAAGGUUAACAACAAUCAGUUUACAGGAGCGAUGAGUGGUGCGUAAGCCAGCAACGUGGAUUCCUGUGAGUAGAGCAACACAAGCCUUCCAGGUAGGAGAUAAGGUGGUAUGAGUACUCGGCCUCGUGCGUCACCUGUGUGGCGUGCGUGGUUCACAGUGGGCCGAGGGAGGUGCGGCUUGUUCUCGCACUCUCAUUGGUGGAGGCGGGACGGCUGAGGACAGUGGCGUGAUGGUUGUGGAGAAACCUCGCUAGUGUUUUCCGUCCUUUCUCCCUCGCCUUGGCUGCAUCGCGUCCUGGUAGCCUUUGUUACACGAAUCUUACUUCACUGAUACCCGCACUAUGAGCUUCACUGAUACACUCAUGAUAAGGUUG